rnacentral:sRNA from 1 species
CAUAAAAAAAAAUUGAAUAUAAUCAAAGAAAGGAUAGCAUAAAAACCCCGUGGCUACUUAACACAAUCCAUACAAAUUCGACACGUCAGAUUGAUUUUGAUGUUGGGGAAAGUCUACAAAAGGGUGAAGGAAACUGGAGGGAAAGGAAAAAAGAAUGACUAUAUGACAUUUUUGGAGUGAUAUGUAGCACAUUCAUGUUGUGUGGGUGGAUAACAAGUGCAGUUGACUGUGUUCGUGUUCAGUAAGGAUUUCGGAACAUCAUAAUCUAUUGAAUUUCUGUUAGCAUUUCAGAUUUUUUCUUUAUAUGUGACAUGUUAAAAUUUUCAUUGAUAGAGUUGUAAUAAAAAAUUUGGAAAGUA